rnacentral:rRNA from 1 species
GUUAUAGGAUCAAGUGACUAAGUGCAUGUGGCGGAUGCCUUGGCGAUCACAGGCGAAGAAAGACGCGGCAGCCUGCGAAAAGCUGCGGGGAGCUGGCAAACGAGCUUUGAUCCGCAGAUAUCUGAAUGGGGGAACCCACACCGCAAGGUGUAUCCGUAGCUGAAUACAUAGGUUACGGAGGCGAACGAGGAGAACUGAAACAUCUAAGUAUCCUCAGGAAAAGAAAUCAACCGAGAUUCCGGCAGUAGCGGCGAGCGAACCCGGAGGAGCCCAGCUUUUGAUAGUACGAACUUUAGCCGAAAGGUCCUGGAAAGGCCUGCUAUAGUGGGUGAUAGCCCCGUAGGCGAAAGAGUUGGUACGGUACUAAGGAAGCGAGAAGUAGAGCGGGACACGUGGAAUCCUGUUCGAAGACGGGGGGACCAUCCUCCAAGGCUAAAUACUCGUGAUCGACCGAUAGUGAACCAGUACCGUGAGGGAAAGGCGAAAAGAACCCCGGGAGGGGAGUGAAAUAGAACCUGAAACCGCAUGCAUACAAACAGUAGGAGCCUCGUCAGAGGUGACUGCGUACCUUUUGCAUAAUGGGUCAGCGACUUACAUUCUGUGGCGAGCUUAACCGAAUAGGGGAGGCGCAGCGAAAGCGAGUUCGAAAUGAGCGUUCAGUCGCAGGGUGUAGACCCGAAACCAGAUGAGCUAUCCAUGGCCAGGUUGAAGGUGUGGUAACACACACUGGAGGACCGAACCGACUAGUGUUGCAAAAUUAGCGGAUGAGCUGUGGAUAGGGGUGAAAGGCCAAACAAAUCUGGAGAUAGCUGGUUCUCCCCGAAAACUAUUGAGGUAGUGCCUCGUGUGUCGCUCCAGGGGGUAGAGCACUGUUUUGGCUAGGGGGACAUGGAGUCUUACCAAACCAAGGCAAACUCCGAAUACCUGGAAGCGUAAGCACGGGAGACAGAGCACCGGGUGCUAACGUCCGGACUCAAAAGGGAAACAACCCAGACCGCCGGCUAAGGUCCCAAAUAACAGCUAAGUGGAAAACGAAGUGGAAAGGCCGUGACAACCAGGAAGUUGGCUUAGAAGCAGCCAUCCUUCAAAGAAAGCGUAAUAGCUCACUGGUCGAGUCCUUCUGCGCGGAAGAUGUAACGGGGCUAAGCUGUUAACCGAAGCCGCGGAUGCACUGGUUAUCCAGUGCGUGGUAGGGGAGCGUUCUGUAAGUCUGCGAAGGCGGUUCGAGAGGACUGCUGGAGAUAUCAGAAGUGCGAAUGCUGACAUGAGUAACGUUAAAGCAGGUGAAAAGCCUGCUCGCCGUAAGCCCAAGGAUUCCUGCUCUACGUUCAUCGGAGCAGGGUGAGUCGGCUCCUAAGGUCAGGCCGAAAGGCGUAGCCGAUGGGAAUCAGGUUAAUAUUCCUGAACCUGCGUCAGAUGCGAUGGGGGGACGGAGCAUGGAAGAUCAUCCGGGUGUUGGAAGUCCCGGUUGUUGAGCGUAGGAGGUCUGCAGGCAAAUCCGCAGACGCAUCUCCAAGGCAAAGACACGUGCCGCCACGGCGGCGAAGUGAUCGGAAGUGCUUCCAAGAAAAGCCUCUAAGCCCCAGUCUGACGCGGACCGUACCGCAAACCGACACUGGUGGGCGAGCUGAAUAUGCUCAGGCGCUUGAGAGAACUCGGGAGAAGGAACUCGGCAAAUUGACACCGUAACUUCGGAAGAAGGUGUGCCGUAGUACCGUGAGAGGAGAGACACCUUGAGCGGGAAACGGUCUCAGAGAAUAGGUGGCUGCGACUGUUUAUUAAAAACACAGCACUCUGCAAAGUCGAAAGACGACGUAUAGGGUGUGAUGCCUGCCCGGUGCUGGAAGAUUAAUUGAUGGGGUGAGAGCCCUUGAUCGAAGUCCCAGUAAACGGCGGCCGUAACUAUAACGGUCCUAAGGUAGCGAAAUUCCUUGUCGGGUAAGUUCCGACCUGCACGA